CCUCCUUGUCUUUUCCCAUCAACACACUCCUAGGACACCGAAGAUGGCACUGCCAGCCAAGAUGUGUGGCAUAGGUGCUCUUGUUUUCCCAUGGUUUUCUAUUUCUAAACAUUGUUCCAUUCACCUUUAUUAUAGACACUGACUCAUGGAAUAGUUACAGGAACGUGUCCAUAGUCUCUCAGAACUAGGAACAGAGCACAGAAAUCUCUGUUCUUGACUGUUUGUACUGACCCCUGGAAAUUCUAUGUGUUUCAGUGGGACACAGACCAGGGCAUCCUUUUCCCUGAUCCUGUUGAGGAUGUGGAAGGAGUGACAGGAAGACUGUGGUCAGGAGUCUGGAUUCCAGUCCUGCUUUUAUCACCAACUAGUAUCCUUUGGCAAGGUCUGCUUUCUGAUCCUCACUUUCCUUAUCUAUAUAAUGAAGACAUUGGAUCACAGGAUCAUUUAAGGUCCCUUCAGAUCUAACUUUUUAUAUGUGAUAGAUCAUUUCUGAUGGUGGUCAUGAGAAUCCUUCCUACCUCCUAUUUUGUACCUUUUUUUAAAGGUACACUUUACCUAAAAGCUACAAUAAAAUGCAUACAUUUUGACAAAUGUAUACACUUGUAUGUAUACUGCCACAAUCAAGGUACAAAACACUUCCAUCAUGCCAAAAAGCUCCCUCAUGCCCUUUUGCUGGCAAUCCCCAUCCUCUAGCCUCAGGCCACCAGUGAUCUGCUUUCUGUCACUAUAGAUUAGUUUGCCUUAUCUAGAAUUUCAUAUAACUAGCAUAAUAUAUAUGCUCUUUUGUGUCUGGCUUCUUUCACUCAGCCUAACCACAUUCUUUUUGUAAUGUGCCUGUACCAUCCUCCCAUCAAGAGUAGAAUCUGUUUUCCAGCUCCUUGAAUCCAGAAUGGCCCUCUGACUUGCUUUGACCAACAGAAUACAAUGAAAGUAAUGCUGUGUGAUUACUUCUACCCCUUGGUAAACCACUGCCAUGUAAAAAUGCCUGAGGUAGACUACUGAAUUACUGAAGACCAUGUGGAGUGAGAGGGAGGUACAUGGAGGAGGACCAAGUUCCAGACUUGUGGAUUAGGCCAACUUGGAUCCUCCAGCCCCUUAAGAUACCCCUAAUCAAGACCACGUGGAGCAGAAAAGAGCCAUCCUCCCUGACCCCCGCCUGUAUUCCUAACCCAAAGAAUUGUGAGUGAAUAAAAUGCUCUUGGUUUAAGCCACUAAAUUUUUGGGUGGCUUGUAACAACCAAAACUAAAAUGAUGAGUCUUCUGCCCUGUCUUCCUUAAGGUCCAACAGAAUCUCUUUCGGGCCCUAAGACUAUUAGCUAACUAUACAGGUGUUUUCCCUGAAAUUUUUUCUACUUCUCUCUCUUUCCUUUUCAUAUUCUUCCUCCCUCGGGUGUCAUAAAUUGCAUCUGAAUUCUUGUAACUCUGUUUCAUGAACUUGAAAACUGCAGUGUGUUUUUCUUCCAUUUCACUUUACAGGGUUAAAGAGUAUCAAAUCUUUUCUCUCUUCCCUUCAGAUCCAGUGUUCUGGCAUUUGAAUUACAGCAUGUUCUAGAGAAAAAUAGAGUGUGGGAGCCAAGAACCCUCAUUUUAUACCUAAUGAGCUGUAAGGUUCUGGGCAAGUUUGAAAGCUUCCUACACCUGACUUUCUUCAUGUAAUCUCAUGAGCUGGUGGAGAGAGCAUAAACUGCAAAAACAGAUGAGAAAGUCAGUCAAAAGCAAAGUACUCUUUAUUUCCACAACUCGGACAAGUUUUCUGCAAUGAUAUUUGCGUGCCCUCCGUGUGUCAAGUUCUCUGUCACAGGCUUGAACAUGCAAGUGUUGGCAUGAAUGAAAUAUAGGAUGACUCAUCCAAUGAGAAUUUGAAUGCUGGCGUAAAACCAUAGAGAAAAUCCAGGUUCAAUAAAAAGGCUAAUAAUUCACAGAAAUAUCCUGGGAUCAAAGAGAAGACCCUGUGGCCUCAUUGGACAUUAGUAGGUGCCUUGGAAGAAGCAGAGGCAGGAGACACAAAGGACUUCAAGUGAUUGGAACAAGAACUGUAGAAGACAUACCUAAGCACAGGAGAGGGGAAAGAGAGCGUUCAAUUGCUUUUGAAAUGAGUAUUUAAAAACCAGCCUCACUCAGGGUGGCCCCUUGCAGUCCUCUGCUGAGUCAACUCUCUGCUUGGCAGCCUCUUGUCCAUAGCUGACUCAGGGCAGAAAGGUGAUUGAUUGCCUUAAGAGCCUUCCCCUGACCUCUCCACUCGGCUCUCCUUCCUCCACCCCACCAUUCUUCCAGAGCCCAGCUCAGAUCCACAGGUUUCUCCAAAAUGCCUUUCUUCCAUUUGCAGAUAACAAAAACCAGUUGGAAAGAAUAUAGGUAAAAGAGUAAAUUUACUGGAGGGAAGCGUCUUACAAGGAAGAGUUGAACAACUUAACCUCCCUCAGGGAGAAGUAGCCCAGGGCAGUUCCCAGGACCUCAGAGGCUGAAAAUCACAAGUGCCUCCAAAGGGUUCGCUGCCAUUAAUGAUUUAGCUACCAACUCCCAACCACUGUCUCUCUGCGCAAAUCUAAAAUUCCUGGGAGAAUCUGAUUGGCACAUAUACACAUGCACUCACACACACACACACACACACACACACACACACGCACAGUAUGUAUUCAAGCUCAAGCUGUUAAAUAAACUCAGAAAAUC
rnacentral:lncRNA from 1 species